rnacentral:rRNA from 1 species
UGCGCCUUGCCAGCCCGCUCAGAAACUUAAAGGAAUUGACGGGGGCCCGCACAAGCAGCGGAGCGUGUGGUUUAAUUCGAUGAUACACGAAGAACCUUACCCAGGCUUGACAUGUUGGUGGUAGGGAUCCGAAAGGUGACCGACCCUUCGGGGAGCCUUCACAGGUGCUGCAUGGCUGUCGUCAGCUCGUGUCGUGAGAUGUCCGGUUAAGUCCGGUAACGAGCGCAACCCUCGCUGUGUGUUAUAUGUGUCACACGGGACUGCCGGUAUCAAGCCGGAGGAAGGUGGGGAUGACGUCAAGUCAGCAUGGCCUUUAUGUCUGGGGCUACACACACGCUACAAUGGCCAGUACAAUAGGUUGCAAGACCGCGAGGUGGAGCCAAUCCUUAAAGCUGGUCUCAGUUCGGAUUGCAGGCUGCAACUCGCCUGCAUGAAGUCGGAGUUGCUAGUAACCGCGCGUCAGCCAUAGUGCGGUGAAUACGUUCCCGGGCCUU